rnacentral:rRNA from 1 species
CAAGUCGAGCGAGUCUGCCUUGAAGAUCGGAGUGCUUGCACUCUGUGAAACAAGAUACAGGCUAGCGGCGGACGGGUGAGUAACACGUGGGUAACCUGCCCAAGAGAUCGGGAUAACACCUGGAAACAGAUGCUAAUACCGAAUAACAACAGAUGAUGCCUAUCAACUGUUUAAAAAAGAUGGUUCUGCUAUCACUCUUGGAUGGACCUGCGGUGCAUUAGCUAGUUGGUAGGGGUAACGGCCUACCAAGGCGAUGAUGCAUAGCCGAGUUGAGAGACUGAUCGGGCCACAUUGGGGACUGAGACACGGGGCCCAACUCCUACGGGGGAGGGCAGCAGGUAGGGGGAAUCUUCCACAAUGGACGCAAGUCUGAUGGAGCAACGCCGCGUGAGUGAAGAAGGGUUUCGGCUCGUAAAAGCUCUGUUGUUGGUGAGGAAGGACAGGGGUAGUAACUGACCUUUGUUUGACGGUAAUCAAUUAGAAAGUCACGGCUAACUACGUGCCAGCACCGGGUAAU